UACGGGGGGGGCAAGCGUUGUUCGGAAUUACUGGGCGUAAAGGGCUCGUAGGUGGCCAACUAAGUCAGACGUGAAAUCCCUCGGCUUAACCGGGGAACUGCGUCUGAUACUGGAUGGCUUGAGUUCAGGAGAGGGAUGCGGAAUUCCAGGUGUAGCGGUGAAAUGCGUAGAUAUCUGGAGGAACACCGGUGGCGAAGGCGGCAUCCUGGACCGGCAUUGACGCUGAGGCGCGAAAGCUAGGGGAGCAAACGGG
rnacentral:rRNA from 1 species